CAGCCGCCACGGUAAUACAGAGGAUGCAAGCGUUAUCCGGAAUGAUUGGGCGUAAAGCGUCUGUGGGUGGCUUUUCAAGUCCGCCGUCAAAUCCCAGAGCUCAACUCUGGAACUGCCUUUGAUACUGGGUAUCUUGAGUAUGGAAGAGGUGAGUGGAAUUCCGAGUGUAGAGGUGAAAUUCGUAGAUAUUCGGAGGAACACCAGUGGCGAAGGCGGCUCACUGGUCCAUUACUGACGCUGAGGUGCGAAAGCGUGGGGAGCAAAUGGGAUUAGAUACCCCUGUAGUCCCUGUCUCUUAUAC
rnacentral:rRNA from 1 species